AGUGGAUUGUGUUCCUGGCUAUUCUAGCUUGGACUACAUUUCUUUCAGGCGACGGAGCAAACUUGAACCUUUUGCUCAGUUUCGGCAUCCCUGGUUGCGCGCUGCGCGUGCCCUGGUCCCACCUGAGGAAGAAGCCGGCGUGGGUCGCUGCGGGAAAGACUGCAGCCCUGGACUGCAGCCCGCGCGGGCACCUGCGUGGCGCUCUGGCUUUCUGGAUCUGUGCUUUUCUGGCAGAGGAGCCCUGAGGACUUAUCCACUUUUGCAGAUCUAAAACCAUGGCCCAUGGAUCAAUAACAUUUGAAGAUGUGGCCAUAGACUUCUCACAGCAGGAGUGGGAAUAUCUUAACCCU